AGCAGCCGCGGUAAUUCCAGCUCCAAUAGCGUAUAUUAAAGUUGUUGCAGUUAAAAAGCUCGUAGUUGAAUUUCGGGGUUAGCAGGUCGGUCGUGCCAUCGGUAUGAACUGGUCUCGCUGAUCCCUCCCUCUUGACGAACUGUGAUGCCAUUAAUUUGGUGUCGCAGGGAAUCAGGACUGUUACUUUGAAAAAUUAGAGUGUUUAAAGCAGGCUCACGCUUGAAUACAUUAGCAUGGAAUAAUGAAAUAGGACGUUUGAUCCUAUUUUGUUGGCUUCUAGGAUUGACGUAAUGAUUAAUAGGGAUAGUUGGGGGCAUUAGUAUUCAAUUGUCAGAGGUGAAAUUCUUGGAUUUAUUGAAGACUAACUACUGCGAAAGCAUUUGCCAAGGAUGUUUUCAUUAAUCAAGAACGAAAGUUAGGGGAUCGAAGACGAUCAGAUACCGUCGUAGUCUUAACCAUAAACUAUGCCGACUAG
rnacentral:misc_RNA from 1 species